CCUACGGGUGGCAGCAGUGGGGAAUAUUGCACAAUGGGGGAAACCCUGAUGCAGCGACGCCGCGUGAGUGAAGAAGUAAUUCGUUAUGUAAAGCUCUAUCAGCAGGGAAGAAAAUGAGGGUUCCUGAGUAAGAAGCCCCGGCCAACUACGUGCCAGCAGCCGCGGUAAUACGUAGGGGUCACGCGUUAUCCGGAUUUACUGGGUGUAAAGGGGGCGUAGACGGCAGUGCAAGUCUGGAGUGAAAGGCGGGGGCGCAACCCCCGGACUGCUCUGGAAACUGUACGGCUGGAGUGCAGGAGAGGUAAGUGGAAUUCCUGGUGUAGCGGUGAAAUGCGUAGAUAUUAGGAGGAACACCAGUGGCGAAGGCGGCUUACUGGACUGUAACUGACGUUGAGGCUCGAAAGCGUGGGGAGCAAACAGGAUUAGAUACCCCUGUAGUC
rnacentral:rRNA from 1 species